UAUUUUGAUUUAAAAAUUGUU
rnacentral:piRNA from 1 species